rnacentral:lncRNA from 1 species
GUCGCACCGCGGCCUUCCUUCUAAGAAAAUUUAUAUACACUUGUACACGCGCAUUUUGCGAAUCGCACGCGCGCAUCCGCGCGUUAAAAUUCGGUCCUGUCUUUGGGCCAUUUUGUACGGUCUGUUUAUUCGGCAGAGUACGACCGGACACAUUUCUGCGAGGGGCUGCUUAAAUAUUGUAACGGCUGCGCAUGGAAUUGUUUGCAUGGCCAUGUUGCAUGAUGAUAAUUGUUUUGGGGGGUUCAAAUCCUCAAAUGUGUCAAAUGCCAAGCCCGAGGA